UUGGAGAACGCUCAACUUUUAUGGACUGCUUCAAGAUCUAUUAAGACAGACAAAUACUUAGUUUUCUCCUGAACUGUGCAGGGAUCUUGAUGGGAAAGUAACUGCUGAAGGAAGUUGAAAUUGCUGCAAUGUACUUGAAAAAUGCAUCAGGCAAGGAGGGUGUCCAGGAACUCAUUAGCAAUCUUUCCAAGAUGGGAAGAUUCUUGCAGAAGAUGUUGUCAAAUUGGGAAGUGGGACAGAAGAUACCAACACAGCUUAAGAAGGAAUGUAGAGGCUCAUAUUGUGCGUGUUGGCAUAUGCUAAUUUUGUAAAAUCAAUGCUGAUAGAUAUAUAAAGAGGAAUAUACCUAGGUAAAAAAAAUAGAAAAAACAACAUUAUGGGGCCUUCUUGUUGUUUAGGCUUCCUAACUUGUUAAUUACAAAUCCAAUAUUAGAUUUACAAAUUAUUAGAUUGAAAUAAAGGAA